rnacentral:rRNA from 1 species
UGAGGAAUAUUGGUCAAUGGACGGAAGUCUGAACCAGCCAUGCCGCGUGAAGGAUGAAGGCGUUCUGCGUUGUAAACUUCUUUUAUUAGGGAAGAAACCACAGAUUUCUAUUUGUGUUGACGGUACCUUAUGAAUAAGCACCGGCUAACUCCGUGCCAGCAGCCGCGGUAAUACGGAGGGUGCAAGCGUUAUCCGGAUUUACUGGGUUUAAAGGGUGUGUAGGCGGACUUAUAAGUCAGGGGUGAAAUCUCCGAGCUCAACUCGGAAACUGCCUUUGAUACUAUUAGUCUUGAAUUAUGUCGAGGUUGGCGGAAUAUAACAUGUAGCGGUGAAAUGCAUAGAUAUGUUAUAGAACACCGAUUGCGAAGGCAGCUGGCUAGACAUAUAUUGACGCUGAGGCACGAAAGCGUGGGUAGCGAACG